rnacentral:rRNA from 1 species
UACGAAGGGGGCUAGCGUUGCUCGGAAUUACUGGGCGUAAAGGGCGCGUAGGCGGCACUGUUAGUCAGGCGUGAAAGUCCUGGGCUCAACCUGGGAACUGCGCUUGAUACGGCAGAGCUAGAGGAUGGAAGAGGCUCGCGGAAUUCCCAGUGUAGAGGUGGAAAUUCGUAGAUAUUGGGAAGAACACCGGUGGCGAAGGCGGCGAGCUGGUCCAUUACUGACGCUGAGGCGCGACAGCGUGGGGAGCAAACAGG